GGAGGGGUUCCCGAGCGGCCAAAGGGAUCAGACUGUAAAUCUGACGGCUUACGCCUUCGAAGGUUCGAAUCCUUCCCCCUCCACCA
rnacentral:tRNA from 1 species